UGGGUGCUCAACAAUCCCAUCAGCAACCAGACUCAACAUCUGGACAUCAGUCAACUCUGUCACACAUGUUCAGGUACAGCAGCGCUGAUAUGUGUGUUUAUUUACUGAGCUGAUCUCUGUCUUCAGUUGUAGAUCAGAUUGAUUCAAUCACUUACACUCAUGACUGUCUCUCUUUUGCUCUUCAUCAGUUCCUCCAGUCUCUGUAUCUCUGAUAGUGCUGAUCUCUGCUGCUGCUGCUGGAUCUCUGUUGAUUAUAGCUGCAGUCGGGAUCUUCUGCAUCUGCAGGAAAUGUCAGCCAAAAAGGAAAGACAGGACUCAUUCAGGACUGUUUAAAUCAUCAUCUCGAAAAAAGAAAUCAAAUGAUGAACAUGUGUAUGAAAAUAUCUCCCCAAAGCGAUGAUCAAAUACAGAAUCUACUGGAAUAAAAUAAAUGUCCUGACUCCACCUGUUUAGGUUACAUUUAAUCUCUACCAGGAGGGUGUUUUUUUUUUUUUUUUUUUUUUUUUUUUUUGCACAUCCAAUCUCAUUGUUAUGUCUUGAAUUUUUGCUGCUGUUUAAUUUAGUGGUUUACAAAUAGAAUAGCAUUCAGAAACUCAACUAAAUUGUUUAUUUUCUAUCUUAACAUGCAUGAAACUUGCAUGCCUAUUAAAUACUGAAUCCACCCUUUACUGCUCUCUGUUAAUAAUAAUAAUAAUAAUAAUAAUAAUAAUAAUAAUAAUAAUUAUAAUAAUAUCGACUGCAUACAGUUUGUACACGAUAAAGGCUGCUGGAUAUUUUGCCAAAUCCAGCACAAUCACAUCAUCGCUCUCUGAUGUCGAAAGAGGAAAAUAACACAUCUCUAAUAAUAGCGCUACUUUUACCAGACACAGCGCGCUAUAAAUAGAUGCUUCUUGCUUUAUGAAGGUCGACAUCUUUCCAGUGACGCAGAGCGCGCAAUCAGACACGUCACAUCAUAACAGUUUCGAAAUUUCAGUGGUUCGCCGCUAGGGAGCGAUGAUCUCUGAGAACCCAUGAGAAGGGUGACCAUAUUUUGAUUACCGAAAACCACACUCUGCACUCUGCCCGGCAAUGAGAUACUCAAAUGAUACUCGAAGUGUACUCAAAGAUGCCUUAUAAUUUCAAUACAUUUAUAGUAUGCAUCCUCUGUAUGGACAGAAAAUUGUUAUAUUACAAAAUACUAUCUAUAACCAAAGACACAAAUUCAGAUUUCUUUGUCUCAGAGGUUACUCAACAUGUUUUAUGACAAGUUUCAAAAAUAACGAAUGAAAUAAUGAUAGAAAAAAAAAAAUGUCUCUUCUGUAUUAGAAAAAUAAAUAAAUAAAAAAUAUGGGGUGAUGGGCCAUGAGCCAGUGUCUAUUUAAGGUUUGUACCUGAUCUCAGACAAGUUUUAUAAAUUUCUAGGCAUUUAAUUAAUGACACAUUUUUAUAAUAAAAAGCAAGAGCUGUAGUUUAGAGCUGUAGUCACCUAUUGGUCUGAUUACCCAAGCUCUCAUUAAAACAAACGAAACAAGUCCUACAAUUUAAUAAAAUAGAUAGAUUUAAUCUAUAGAUAGAUAGAUAGAU